rnacentral:lncRNA from 1 species
AAGGAAUUCAAGCUCAGUCCACAUAGAGUUUUCAUAAAUAAUGAUGCUGCUGAUGUCAUAAUGGUGACUGCCACACAGCAACACAAAAUCCAUCUUGACCCACCUGACCCAAGGACCAAUUAAAGCACUUCACACAUAUUCAUUCAUUUACUUCCCAGAGCAGCCCAGGACAGGCGCUCCUAUUGGCUCCAUUUGACACACGAGGACCUUAUGAGGUGCUUAGUCUCACCAGGGCAGACCCAGGCUUCUAGCAGCAAAUCCAGGAGGCUUGUCCUGGCUUGAAAUAUGAGAAGCCCAGAGAAAGAGAAACUUGGCAGAAAUGUUUCCAUAUGCCAACUUGAAACAAAUGCACAACCUCUUUGAAAGCCUUCACUAUGUGGUGACUGUGGAAGGGAAGAGUAAUGAGAAUUGUCAUUAAUGAAGGGUUAACACACUGACAGCAUCAUUGAGGCGAUGGACAUAAGUUUGAGUAGGCUCCGGGAGUUGGUGAUGGACAGGGAAGCCUGGCGUGCUGCAGUCCAUAGGGUCACAAAGAGUUGGACGUGACUGAGGGACUGAACUGAGCCUAUUUAUUUAAAAUGUCAUCUUAAAAAAUAAAAAACUUUAAUUAAAG